GCCAUUUCUCUCUGAAUAAGCACAUGGACAGCAGCAUCUCCCCCCCCGGGUAGAGGAGGAGGUAGUGUAGUAGAUAGGGGCCCAAAUGCAAAAGAGGACACAAUUGUAAGGAUUUUUAAAGCAAAAGAGGGCAGAAUGGAAAUGAAUGCAGAGCGAUGCAGAGUGCUGAGCCGGGCCUGUGCAGAGCGCUGACAGAGGAUGCGUCAGCCCUGUUCCUGCAGUGCUGAUUCUGUCGCUUUAAAUGAACUAGUUGCUGCUUGCCACGCCCCUUUGGAGCUUCAUGCAAGCUGUGGGAGGAGGUUCAGGGCGGUCUAAAGUGAUGUAAGCAGCAAGAACAUUUCUGCAGGAGACCUCAUCGAAAUAAGUUAUCUGCAUAGUGAUAAUGUAACCAGGUUGAAAUAUGUAGUUCCUGCAAAGUAUAAAUAUUGUGUUUUAUUUUGAAAGUUCAUG